AUCGUUCAUCCUCUUAAAGAGGACGCAAGUAAGCCGACUCGGAACGGAAU
rnacentral:ncRNA from 10 species